rnacentral:rRNA from 1 species
UACGUAGGGUGCAAGCGUUGUCCGGAAUUAUUGGGCGUAAAGAGCUCGUAGGCGGUCUGUCGCGUCUGCUGUGAAAACCUAGGGCUUAACUCUGGGCGUGCAGUGGGUACGGGCAGGCUAGAGUGCGGUAGGGGAGACUGGAAUUCCUGGUGUAGCGGUGAAAUGCGCAGAUAUCGGGAGGAACACCGGUGGCGAAGGCGGCGAUCUGGGUAGAUACUGACGCUGAGGUGCGAAAGCGUGGGGAGCAAACAGG